GAAAAGAAAAGGUGAUUGAAAUUAGAGAAUGGAAUAAAAGGGAGAAGAUUUUUCUUCAAGUAGGAUCAACUUUUUGGGCUGGCUUUUGAAGGAAAGAGUCAGAGUUUGAGAGUAAAAACAGGUUAGAUUUUUAACACUUAAAAGUUCAGUCUUUGAGAGUUAAAGAACAAAUAAUCAGAAAGUACUAUUCCAUCGCCUCUUUUGUUUCUGGUUCACACUGUUUCUGCCAGUGAUUGCAUUUGGUAUUGCUGGGGUUCCAAGUGGUUUUUCCAGGGUUGCUAUUUGGUUACUUGUUAAUGUUUCAUUGGGUUUUGCUAGAUUUUUGCUUGGUUUUUAAAUCUGUUGCUGGGUGUUGCUGUUGUUGUAUGCUAUUGCUGUGUUGAUUCUCAGCUUCCUCUUCUUUUGCUUUCGAUACCUGGUACACGACUGUAACCCUUCCAAUUUUGUAUGCUGAGACAUGAAGCAUGAAUAUAUAUAAAAGAAUGAAGUUUGAAGUUUUGAAGUUUUGAUUUAGUUUUAACUUUUCUUCUUUCACUAAUUAUAGUUAGGAUAUUUCAUAUACUACUUGUAUGUAAAUUUCUGUCGCUUUGUAUAACUGGACAGUUUUUGUAGUGAUGUAGUCAAUAAUGUUAUGUUAUUUUGGCUUGGUUAUUAGGUACUAUAUGGUCAAAUACAUGUCACAUAGAAUCGGGCCCAGUAGACGUUUUUAAUUACCAUGGCAAUCUAAUUUCAACAUUCAAUGGCUUGAAUUUAGGAUUAAAACUAGACCUCUAAGUUACAUCAUUCCAACUGAUUGCCUUUCUAAAACUUGCAGUAACUUGUUUAAUUAGACAUCAUUGUUUUUAAAUUUCAGCGUUGCAAAUUCUGAAUAUGUGUAAGAUAACUUAAUUAGGCUUCAACGUUUGAAUCGGAUGGCCCAGGUCCCGUUUAAUGCUACAUACGUUUGGACCUGGACCCAUGUUUGUUGAAUUUCCUGUCGAUGUGCACUUAUAUUCUGAUUUUAAAAGACUUUGUUCUGAACCCGACUAUAACAAUUCUUAAGCAUGUAAAUUAAUUAAGACCUUUUCUUCUUCAUUUUUAGAGACGAACAAAAAUAAAAAAAAUGUAGAUACUUUAUGAUUAUCCUUUUAAAAUAAAUGAGAUGAGUCUCCCCUAAUAAAAUACAAAGAUUACGGGGCCCUAACAAGUGUAUAUAUCGAUUACUUAGAACUCAGGAUUGACCGCUUAGUGAAUUUCACGGCCUUUUCCCAAAGUAACAACGCGUUAGUCUCUUUAGGCAUGUAUGUUAAAUAAUCUUACCUUUUAAAACUCGGGUGCGCAUUUAUGUGACCCAAAUCCAAAUCUCAAUGAAGUCGAUGUGUGUCGACAACCACAGGUGCAUUGAUUGCGACGUGGUUCGAGAUGCAUUUUCACGACAUUGCAAUUCUAUUUAAAAUAAUGAUAAAAGCGGUUAUAGUUAAAUAAAAAAACAUAAGUUAUAACAUGUAUUAAAAUCAGAUAUUUAGAACCACGGGAUCCGGGGGUGCCUAACACCUUCCCCCGGGUCAACAAAAUUUCUUACUUAGAAAUUUUUUUUCGCACACUUCGUUUGGAAAGUCAAAUAUUUUCCUCGAAUUGGGAUUCAAGAUAAACCGGUGACUUGGGACACCAAAAGCCAAACCUUUCCCAAGUGGCGACUCUGAAUAAAUAAAUAAUUCCAUUUCGAAUAUAGUCACUUAAAUUGGAAAAACUCCCCUAUGCAUCCAUCCAUCGGGGUAGGCGCGUAAAAAGGAGAUGUGACAUGAUGAUCUCAACAGCUUCGCAUGGUGAUUUAGGAAUUAGUCGCGCAUCCGGAUUCAGAUUUGGAGGUCCGUAGAGAGAAUUGAGGCAUUUCGACGAAAGUUGAAGUUGUAAAAUUAAGAAGUUUGACCCACAGUUGAAUUUUGGGAUAAUGGGGCCGGGAUGCAAUUUCGAGAGUUAAUGCAUCUCCGUUAUGCUCUUUUGGACUUAUAUGCAAAAUUUGGCAUCAUUCUGAGUUGAAUUGAUAGGUUUCAACAUGAGAUUCGUUAUUUGAAGAUUAGAAAUUCAUAAGCUUAAUUUUUGGUUUGAUUCAUUGUUUCGAUGUUGCGUUAUGUGAUUUGGAACUUCGAGCAAGUCCGUGUUAGGUAUAAGCUUGUGUUUAUUAUUAGACGCGGUCCCGAGAGCCUCGUGUGUGUUUCAGAUGGGCCACAUAUCCUUUUCUUCUAUUUUUAAACUGCAGAAACUGCUGCUUCUGAUAUCCUUCUGCGCCGCCUUGCUGAAGAAUACCUGAAAGAUGUUCUUCGAGUUCGCAACUGUCUCUUUGCGUUCAUGAUGUUUUGUGUAUUGCUUCAUUGUGUUCACUUCAAGCAUCCCAUAAUCGCGAAGGUAUAAUUUUCCUUACUUCGCGAUCACAUCUCAGGUCCCGCGUUAGAAUAGAGUAAUCUCUGGACCUCUAUAUUUACUUCAACGCGUUCGCACUCAUUGUUCCUUAAUCGCGAAGCACUGUCUUCCUCUUCUCUGCGAUCACGUUCCUGUCAUUCGGGUUCGCGAUGUACAUUUCUGGGCUCUCUAAUAUUUUCCCAAUGCCAUCGCGACCAUCGUUCCGCGAUCGUGAUGAAGAAAUAACUUGGCAGACAGAUUAAAUUAGGUUUCACCAUUUUAUCAUUUUUUGACUUCUAGAGCUCGGUUCUUGGCGAUUUUUUAAGGGAUUUUCACUUGAGCGACUUGGGUAAGUGUUUCUCACUCAAUUUAGACCAAUUUCCAUGAAUAUCCACUUAAUUUGGUCCUUUAAUUUCAGAUUUCUAAUGAAAAUCGGUAGAACUUCAUAGACUGAAUUAUUGGGUUUUGAGGGAGUGUUUAACCUUCGACCUUCGAGAAUUUUAUAUGGUUGUAUUCGUGAGAGUGCGAGGGUUCUGAAAAUAUUAAAUUUAUCUAACUCUGAGACAUUGUCCUGAUGGGAAUUUUGGUCAUUUUAUCUAAUUUCAUGCUUUAGCAUUGAAUUAAAUUAUAGAAUAAUAUGCUUGAGAUGUUAUUUACAACGUGUGAUUUAAUUGAAUAAAUUUGGUCCAUUUGUAGUCGAGUACUCAUGGCAAGAACGUGGUUGCUAGUUGACCUUAGCCGGUUUGAGGUAAGUAUCUUGCCUAACCUUGUGUGGCCCUUAGGAUUUGAGUCAGCUUUGUUGAUUUUAUUCCGUGUAUGCGAGGUGACGAGUGCGUGCUCGGAUGUGUUUGUGGAAAAUUGUCCCUUUUAGGUUCUUAGUUCCUUGAAAUCACCGAACAUGAAGAUGUUUCUUAAUAUGAUUGAGUUCCUAGUUAUUAGUUUCACCACUACAUGUCGUACUUGGAAUUUAUUUGCCCUUCUUGGCAUAUUCUUGUUACCUAAUUGACUUUCACUUGUUUAACUGUACAUAUUCACCCUUCUAUUGUCACAAUGUCAUUCCUAACUGCUUGUCUUGAUUUGGAAAAAUAGUAUUUCUAUCUCUCAUGCGAUUACUUGUCUUAAUUGGAAAGAAGUUAGACAUCUUAGGUUUAGUUGAUAUUUCCAUAAGUGUAACUAUUUCAUUCAUGUUAACUUCCUUAUUGUCUGGACACUUCUUGAUUGUAACUUCCUCUGUGACUUCGUGCAAAUAUGUUACAUGUCCAAUUGUUGUGGUCACCAAUGUAGCUAUCACACGCUUAUUAUCUCUUGUUAUUUGUUAAGGUUAUUGUUCUUCUUGGUUUUCCGUGACCCUUCUUAUGUAUUAUUGGUUCCCUCAGCGAGAUGUUACUGUUUCCAUUGUUGGUUCCCUUGCCGAGACGUUAUUGUUUCUAUUAUUGAUUCCCUUGCCGGGACGUUAUUCUUUUUAUUGUGGAUUCCCUUGCCGGGAUAUUAUUGUUCUAUUGUGGAUUCCUUGCUGGAUUUCAUUGUAUUCUAUUGUUGGAUCCCUUGCCGGAAUGUUUUUGUUCUAUUAUUUGGGUGAGGAACAGUGAUAAGGCACGAACGGUGAUGCCGUGCACAUGUACAUUUAUGUUGAUAGUGCUGUAAUAUGAGAUACCAAGAGAUACUCGAUACCAAGAACCCCAUCACAUAUAAUAAAGAUACCAAGAGAUCAUCGGGAUACCAAGAGAACCCCAGAACAUAUAUUGAGGAUACGAAGAGAUCCUCAGGAUAACAAUAGAUCUCUAGCACAUAUAGUGAGGACACCAAAAGAUCCUUGGGAUACCAAGAGAUCUCUAGUAAAUAUAUUGAUGAGACCAUGAGAUCCUUGGUAUACCAAGAUAUCCCUAGCACACAUAUUUAUGUUUGGGACUUCAGGAAGAUAUCCUGGGUGAUCCCCUGUUAAACUCAUUUUGUUCUGAGCUUAUGCUUUUAUUGAUUCUAUCCGUGUGCAAACAUUUCGGGUGCUUGACAUUCCACUUCUUAUACUUAUUAGUUAGUGAAGUUCUUGUUAAACACACCUGCACAAGCAUACAGGUAGUUGGACGCUCCCCAAUAGAGGUGAAUACCUUCCGAGUUUUCUAAGGGUGGGGAUACACCCUCAUUCACCUAUUAUAUAUGUGAGAGUGGCUCUAGUUAACCCGUUAGUUGUCAGCAUGACCUUGAGAUUUAUGGGGCACAGGAUGCCAGGUGUUAGAUUUCAGAUACUAGGCUUUUGUAAGUUAUGAUUCAUCCAAGACUUGGUAUAAUUGCGGUAAGAGUUAAAUAAGAUCUUAUGUGAACAUCAUUGGAGGACAUGAGUUGUUGACUAGUUGCCUUUGAUGUGUCAUGACCUUAGGAAUUGGAUUGUGGUUCUGCCGUCAUUUCAUAUCAUCAUUUAUUAUAUUCUCGUUGUUACUUGUUUCAUUUCCCUUUAUUGUGAACUGUAGCAUUUUUAACCAUCCAUGCAGACUCCACAUAGUUAUAUAUCUUUUUUUUAUCUCUCAUGAUUAUACUGUUUAUUUGACUGGUAGGUGCCUUAGCUAUUCCUCAUCACUACGCCAUCGAGGUUAGUCGUGGUACUUACUGGGCACCGCCGUGGUGUGCUCAUGCUACUCUUCUGCACAUUUAUGUUGUGCAGAUACAUGUACUCCCACUUAGUUCUGUUAGCCUUGGAAGGAUGCGUAUCGGUAGAGACUUUGAAGUAUAUCUGCUACAUCCGCAGACCGAGGAGUCCCUUUCCAGCUUUCUAUAAUAAGUAUAGCUCCUUCAGUAUUUUCUCCUUUGUAUAUACAUUCUUGAGUCAGAGCCUCUUAUGUAUACCUUAGCUUGUAAUUUGUGAG
rnacentral:lncRNA from 1 species